CCGAGGUAAGUUGUGUGUAAGUAAUUCAACAAUUUCAUUAUCAUACAUUUAAUAAUUGAUGUUCUAUGAUGUAUGUAUGAAUGCCCUAAUGAAAUUGGCUUGCGACGAUUUAUUGAAAGAUUGGUGAUAGCUUUAUAUCUCGGAAGUCUCGGAUGACCCUGAGGAAUGCUUAGGAUUCAGAUAUCAUGAUACCACGAUUAAUGAGAGCCAGUGUAAGACCAUGUUUGGGACAUGGCAUCGGCAUUGAUAUGUGUGCCAGUGUAAGACCAUAUCUGGAAUAUGGCCUCGGC
rnacentral:lncRNA from 1 species